rnacentral:rRNA from 1 species
UACGUAGGUGACAAGCGUUGUCCGGAUUUACUGGGCGUAAAGAGCGCGCAGGCGGUCGUUCAAGUCGAGUGUGAAAGCCCCCGGCUCAACUGGGGAGGGUCAUUCGAUACUGAUCGACUCGAAGGCAGGAGAGGGAAGUGGAAUUCCCGGUGUAGUGGUGAAAUGCGUAGAUAUCGGGAGGAACACCAGUGGCGAAGGCGACUACCUGGCCUGUUCUUGACGCUGAGGCGCGAAAGCUAGGGGAGCAAACAGG